GACGAACGCUGGCGGCGUGCUUAACACAUGCAAGUCGAGCGGAAAGGCCCUUCGGGGUACUCGAGCGGCGAACGGGUGAGUAACACGUGAGUAAUCUGCCCCUGACUUUGGGAUAGCCACCGGAAACGGUGAUUAAUACCGGAUAUGACAUGGACUCGCAUGGGUUUGUGUGGAAAGUUUUUCGGUCAGGGAUGUGCUCGCGGCCUAUCAGCUUGAUGGUGAGGUAAUGGCUCACCAUGGCUUCGACGGGUAGCCGGCCUGAGAGGGUGACCGGUCACACUGGGACUGAGACACGGCCCAG
rnacentral:rRNA from 1 species